rnacentral:rRNA from 1 species
GAACUGAAACAUCUAAGUACCCCGAGGAAAAGAAAUCAACCGAGAUUCCCCCAGUAGCGGCGAGCGAACGGGGAGCAGCCCAGAGCCUGAAUCAGUGUGUGUGUUAGUGGAAGCGUCUGGAAAGGCGUGCGAUACAGGGUGACAGCCCCGUACACAAAAAUGCACAUAUUGUGAGCUCGAUGAGUAGGGCGGGACACGUGGUAUCCUGUCUGAAUAUGGGGGGACCAUCCUCCAAGGCUAAAUACUCCUGACUGACCGAUAGUGAACCAGUACCGUGAGGGAAAGGCGAAAAGAACCCCGGCGAGGGGAGUGAAAAAGAACCUGAAACCGUGUACGUACAAGCAGUGGGAGCACAGAGCAAUCUGUGUGACUGCGUACCUUUUGUAUAAUGGGUCAGCGACUUAUAUUCUGUAGCAAGGUUAACCGAAUAGGGGAGCCGAAGGGAAACCGAGUCUUAACUGGGCGUUAAGUUGCAGGGUAUAGACCCGAAA